AUGUGUCGAGUAUUUGGAGAAUCGCCCAAAAUGACAGAUGCCAAUGCAUUCUUCUCAAUGCUUGUGAGAUUUACCAAAGCAUUUAAGGCAGCUGACAUUGAAAACGAGCAGAGGAGACGACUUGAAGCUGCAGCCAAAGAAGUAGCUCUCAACAAUAACAACAGUGAAGAAGUAGCUCAGAAGAACAAACUAAAUCAAAAAAAAGCAACAGGUGCGUCAAAAGUAGUCGAGAAUUGUUAUUUCUCCUCUAAGCCUUUUUCCUCAAAGUUUGCGAUGAAUUUAUACACAUGUACCUUAGGCUGUACAGUUAAAUUUUCUUGCUAGUGUGGGCCAAAGUGUAUAAAAGUUGCAGUGAGUUCAUGAUUGAUGCUGUCAUCAGCGAGUUGAAGAGUAAGGCAAAACUCGUCCAAGAGAAGCGACUUUUGCAGCAAGAUGAGGUGUACAAUGGUGCUCUUGAGGAUAUUUUACUGGGUUUGCGAAGUGAGCCCUAUCGUCGUGCAGAUGCUGUACGUCGCAGUCAGAGAAGGCGAAUUGACAGCAAUCGGCUAUCGAGAAAUCUUGAGGACCUGGAAGUCUAGCUCUAAA
rnacentral:lncRNA from 1 species